rnacentral:rRNA from 1 species
AUUGAACGCUGGCGGCAGGCCUAACACAUGCAAGUCGAGCGGAUGAAGGGAGCUUGCUCCUGGAUUCAGCGGCGGACGGGUGAGUAAUGCCUAGGAAUCUGCCUGGUAGUGGGGGAUAACGUCCGGAAACGGGCGCUAAUCCCGCAUACGUCCUGAGGGAGAAAGUGGGGGAUCUUCGGACCUCACGCUAUCAGAUGAGCCUAGGUCGGAUUAGCUAGUUGUUGGGGUACAGGCCUACCAAGGCGACGAUCCGUAACUGGUCUGAGAGGAUGAUCAGUCACAGUAGAACUGAGACACGGUCCAGACUCGUACGGGAGGCAGAAGUGGGGAAUAUUGGACAAUGGGCGAAAGCCUGAUCCAGCCAUGCCGCGUGUGUGAAGAAGGUCUUCGGAUUGUAAAGCACAUUAAGUUGGGAGGAAGGGCAGUAAGUUAAUACCUUGCUGUUUUGACGUUACCAACAGAAUAAGCACCGGCUAACUUCGUG